rnacentral:rRNA from 1 species
AUUGAACGCUGGCGGCAGGCUUAACACAUGCAAGUCGAGCGGAGUGAUGGUGCUUGCACUAUCACUUAGCGGCGGACGGGUGAGUAAUGCUUAGGAAUCUGCCUAUUAGUGGGGGACAACAUCUCGACAGGGAUGCUAAUACCGCAUACGUCCUACGGGAGAAAGCAGGGGAUCACUUGUGACCUUGCGCUAAUAGAUGAACCUAAGUCGGAUUAGCUAGUGGGUGGGGUAAAGGCCUACCAAGGCGACGAUCUGUAGCGGGUCUGAGAGGAUGAUCCGCCACACUGGGACUGAGACACGGCCCAGACCCCUACGGGAGGCAGCAGUAGGGAAUAUUGGACAAUGGGGGGAACCCUGAUCCAGCCAUGCCGCGUGUGUGAAGAAGGCCUUAUGGUUGUAAAGCACUUUAAGCGAGGAGGAGGCUCUUUUGGUUAAUACCCAAGAUGAGUGGACGUUACUCGCAGAAUAAGCACCGGCUAACUCUGUGCCAGCCGCCGCAGUAA